rnacentral:rRNA from 1 species
AUGCGGGGGUUCGCCGCCCGUGACUCUGCGAGAAGUCCAUUGAACCUUAUCAUUUAGAGGAGGAGAAGUCGUAACAAGGUUUCCGUAGGUGAACCUGCGAAGGAUCAUUG